GGACUACAGGGGUAUCUAAUCCUGUUUGCUCCCCACGCUUUCGUGUCUCAGUGUCAGUUCAGGCCCAGACGGUUGCUUUCGCCAUCGGUAUUCCUCCCGAUCUCUACGCAUUUCACCGCUACACCGGGAAUUCUGCCGUCCUCUACCGAACUCUAGCCACGCAGUAUCGACUGCAAUUCCCGGGUUAAGCCCAGGGAUUUCACAAUCGACUUACGCAGCCACCUACACACGCUUUACGCCCAGUAAAUCCGAUUAACGCUUGCACCCUCUGUAUUACCGCGGCUGCUGGCAC
rnacentral:rRNA from 2 species